rnacentral:rRNA from 1 species
GACGAACGCUGGCGGCGUGCUUAACACAUGCAAGUCGAACGGAAAGGCCCUGCUUUUGUGGGGUGCUCGAGUGGCGAACGGGUGAGUAACACGUGAGUAACCUGCCCUUGACUUUGGGAUAACUUCAGGAAACUGAGGCUAAUACCGGAUAGGAGCUCCUGCUGCAUGGUGGGGGUUAGAAAGUUUCGGCGGUUGGGGAUGGACUCGCGGCUUAUCAGCUUGUUGGUGGGGUAGUGGCUUACCAAGGCUUUGACGGGUAGCCGGCCUGAGAGGGUGACCGGCCACAUUGGGACUGAGAUACGGCCCAGACUCCUACGGGAGGCAGCAGUGGGGAAUAUUGCACAAUGGGCGGAAGCCUGAUGCAGCAACGCCGCGUGCGGGAUGACGGCCUUCGGGUUGUAAACCGCUUUCGCCUGUGACGAAGCGUGAGUGACGGUAAUGGGUAAAGAAGCACCGGCUAACUACGUG